AAUGAAAGUGCCUGAAAAAGGAUUAUUUUGAUAGAAUAAAUCAUAUAAAAUUUUAAUUUUUAUCAUCAUUA
rnacentral:tRNA from 1 species